rnacentral:rRNA from 1 species
CCCCCUACGGGGGGCAGCAGUGGGGAAUAUUGCACAAUGGGGGGAACCCUGAUGCAGCGACGCCGCGUGGGUGAAGGAGUAUUUUGGUAUGUAAAGCUCUAUCAGCAGGGAAGAAGAUGACAGUACCUGAGUAAGAAGCCCCGGCUAACUACGUGCCAGCAGCCGCGGUAAUACGUAGGGGGCAAGCGUUAUCCGGAUUUACUGGGUGUAAAGGGAGCGUAGACGGUUGUAUAAGUCUGAAGUGAAAGCCCGGGGCCCAACCCCGGGACUGCUUUGGAAACUGUGUAACUUGAGUACAGGAGGGG